rnacentral:lncRNA from 1 species
GGGAGGGAAAUACUACUCCUCUAAAUGUAAGUAGUUGGAUAGUAGUGCUUUCAGAAAAGAUGGAGGAGCUGCAUCUCAGCAUAAUUAAAUCUAAAACCUAUACUUGGACUGCUCCAAUCAGGUAAACCAGGAAAAUCGGUGCAAACCUGCAUUGUCCAGUCCAGAAGCCUUCUGAAAGACCUUUAAUGCUUUAUCAGGGCUGGAUAAUUGGGUAUUUAUUACUGUAGUUAAUUUGCCUAACAGAAAAGGGGCAUUCUGUAAUGGUUAAACUUUAUUUUUUCUUUUUUUGGUCUGGUGGGUAAUCAUUUUGGGCUUACAGUAUUUUCUGUCAUAGGUACAGCUAUUACCAGAGUCUUGAAGAUAAAGAUAUCUUGCUUUCUGCAUUAUUGAGAACUCCUGAAAAAACUUACAUGAUUAAAAAAGUACCCGGGUGUACUUCCUGUCAUCUGAUCAUACCAGAGUGACUUUCCUGCCACUCUAAUGUAUAAUCAGGUCACCCAAAAUAUGUAAGCAACAACAGUGGGAGAUGUGCCAGCAGAAGACUACUGCUUUAAAAA